ACAGUGUCGUUUAGUUAAAGAAGUUAGGUCAGAUCUAAUCUUCUUCUUCGUGAAAAACUUAGCGCCUAAGACGCCUUAGUGACCGCCUUGCUCCUCUUUUCGCCGCCUCACUGUCCACCGUCCACUUUUGUCGUCCACAAGGCGACUUGUGAGCAACAAACAAAGGACAUGCCGUUUCACGAUUAGGCAAAACGACAUCGUCCGCUCCCCCCAGUCAAAAUAUUCUCGACCCAAUUUCCUUCACCCUGCAAAAUUGAAGAGUUUGGUGGCUUAAUGGAGGGUAACAACAAGAAGGGCUACGCGUGGGCAAUCUCAGCAGGCCUGAACGCCGCUCUGGCUGCCGUUUCGGCGAAGCUCAUCACUCCUCAGAUUGUUAGGUAUGCAUACCAUAUGGUUUGGUGAUAUUGUUGAAUGCGACAAUUUGGGGAUGUUAUGUGAACAGCCUUAAAGCUCUGUCUUCUCUGCAAGCUACUGUCACAAAUUUUGCUGCAAACUUCCUGUCUUCUGGUCUAGCUGGAUACCUUUUGUUCCAAGAACCCUUAUCUUUUCAGUGGUUUGCAGGUGCCCUGCUCAUUGUAGUUGGUUCACUGGUACUUAGUAAGUCAAGUAUUGAGAAGAAAGUCCAUACCCAUUAACAUUUCUGCAUUUCACUUCACCCUUGUGGUUGAGAUAUCAGAGAACUCUAGAUUUCAAUUUCUUUCCUCUUCUGAUAAAA